UAGUUUUGUACGCCAACCUGUAAAAACACAUUAUUUUUACCAAUAUUAAUAAUUAUUUUUGUGUUUUGUCUUUUUUAAAUUAUAAAUUGUAGAACAAGAAGUGGUGAGGACUAUUUGCUUACGAAACCAACCUUCUUUGAUUUCCAUUUAGCAUCAUUCGUAAAGAUGGCGGCUGAUCUGAAGGUGGUGCUUGCUGCAUUGCUGAGAGACAUUUCAGAAAGGAGUUCCUGCGAAAACUUAGCUGAAGUGAAAGCGAUUUUGAGUGCUACGCGCGCAGAAAAUAUUUAUAAUGUAUCGAAAGACCUUGAUCUAAGCCCUUUGUUCAGCUGUUCUGGCACGUUUAGCGGAAAUACUUUAGAUGAACUCAGUGAGCUGCUUGGAAAGCUUCUUGAUGCGUUUCCACCAUCCGCAUUACUUUCCGCACACAAGCAGCACUUUGUGACUGCAUUGAGCACUUCUGAUGGGGCACUGAAAGCAGUCAUCUUGCGCCAGCUGAUUCGAUGCUCCAAGGACAAUGCUACAUUUUCUCAGCUUGCUCGUGACCACCGCAUCCUUGAAUCUGUUUUGAGGCUCCUUGGUGGUGAGGACCUCUGGUCAUCCAAGCAGAGUGCUAUUCUGCUGAAACAGAUGACACGUGAAAAGGAAGUACUAAGUGCCAUGCUGCAUCCCCCCGUGGCACAUGUUCUGGACAGCGUUAUGGAUGGUGGCGAUGUGUGCCGCUUUAGAGUGUUCGAGGUCUUUGUGGAUGUGGCAAAGGCUUCUGCUGAAAACCUUGAGCGGCUUUCAGAAAGCGGCCAUCUGGAGAGGCUGGUGAAAGAAAUGGACAAGAAUGAUGUCUUAGUUCAGCUGAAUGCAUUGGAAGUGCUGACUGAGCUUGUGUCUUGUAGCCAUGGUUUGGAUUAUCUUGAGCGUACUGGCAUUAUAUCCAAGCUCCGUCAGAAGGCUCUCAACAUUGGUUCUGACCCCCUCGGCAACUUUCUGGGCCCAGGAGUGCUCAAGUUUUUUGGCAGCAUGGGUGUGACCAGCCCCCAGCGAUUGGUGCUUGAUUACCCUCAGGUCCUGGGCUUUAUCUUCGAAAGUGUGCAAAGUGAUGACCCAGCAUGCCAGGUGGUUGCUGCUGAAACAGUGGGUAUCAUCAGCUCCACCAUUCAAGGAAAACGUGUCCUUCAGUCACAUGGAGAUCAGAUGAGCCGCUACCUAAAAACAUUAAGUCAGAUCAUCCACAAUGGAAAAGUUGACUUCAAAGUUCGAUAUCUCGGUGCCCUGGCCAAUGUUCUGCACAUUCAAGACAGCAGCUGCGAGGACUUAGUGCAUUUGACAGAGCGGUGGUACGGCCUGCUAGGCGACCGACCCAUGGACAUGUUGCUCCGCCUGUGCCGGCAGCCUUUCCCUGAGCUGCGUUGUGCUACCCUGGCUGUGGUUGCUGAAGUGGCACGAGUACCCUGGGGUCAGGCUGCACUGGCAGCACAGCCAGGGUUCCUUGAGUAUCUUCUUGACCGAUCCACUGAGGCUGACAAACAGUGCAAGGAGGCCAAGUUUGCUGUCGUGGCUACCUUAGCUCAAAUGCAACCUCGGGGUUUUGCUGAUGAUGACUGGCAACGCAUCAGGACCGCCUACCAAGAGGGUCCCUUCUAUAUGGCCUCAGAAGCGGCUGUAACCUUUGAGGGGCUCUCCUGAGGCUCCCAUCUGUUAAGUGCUCAAGUAGAAGGACACACAGACUCAACCAUAACACAGCUCUGUGUCAUGUUUCCUUCAGUGCGUCAGUGUUCUUGAGGGCUGCACGAACUAUUUAUUACCAACUAGCCCAUACGACUCCUGCACUUGAAAGAACAAGAAGCUCAAGGAGCAGUGUGAUUUUAGAACAACACUGGUGGUCUAGACCUGCUUUUUGCAGCUCCUUCCCACAACUAAUGGAACAAACAACACGGAAAGUUGUCUGAAAAUGUUUUAUUGUAGAAUGUCACCAACGUAAAACAAAUAAAGGGAUCACUUUCUGUCA
rnacentral:misc_RNA from 1 species